GCUUGCGAUGGUUGAACAUGAGCGAGAAUUUAUCAGUUGAUGAUUAAUUGUCAGUUGUAGGCCUACAAUUUCGUAAUGCAAAUGUUAGAAUGGGUGUUAAGUUCGCCUCUUAGCACUUGCUGCUAAGAGGCGAAAAUGAACGUGUGACUCAAUUAUUCGAUAAUAAAAAAUGACUAAAAGUAAUAAUAUAGAAGUAGCCUAUAGUUUGUAGCAUCGUCUACCUGCGCUGCCGGCAGGUGACGUCAUAGGUUAUCAGACCUUUCACAUUUGCCUGCCUGCAAGAUGCGCAUGUUGUUUGAGACGGUGAAAAGCUGGCAGGUAAAAGUGAGCAGCAGGUUUGAUAUUCGCCGGAUAGACGGCGCGAGGAGAGGGAGAGACCCCUACGCUGUUGGCACGAGAGCCGUGGACCGCGAUACCUCUGAGCAGCCAGCAGAAUGGGAAUGAUAACCCCUCACACCUUUAAUAUGUGUUUCACCUUCUCCCUGAUGGUCUGGAUAAUUCGCCAAGAGUGUUGUCAGUCGCCUUUUAGAAAUAAAGUCGCAAAGACAACUGUUAAUGAUCUGUACUUUUGAUUUACUGUUUGAAAUCCUCUAAGCUGAGCAGAUGUUUCUCCAGAGCUCUCUGUUGGUUAUCCUAGCAGCACACCUGGAAGGUUCUUCCAGCCCCUUGGAUCCCAGCAGGUCUCUAUGGUUUCCUGCACCUGACGUCAG